UGGUUUCAUUAGCCUAGUAACAACGAACUGUGAGAAGUCAGCCGAACCCAUAGUAGUGAAGAAGUUUCUGUAAUGGAAAUGGAGCGAAGGGG
rnacentral:ncRNA from 1 species